GUGAAUCAUCAAAUUUUUGAACGCACAUUGCACUCCCUGGUAUUCCGGGGAGUAUGCCUGUUUGAGGGUCGUUAGAAUAAAAAAUCGUUGCGUCGCUCUUUUUUUUAAGUGUGAUCUCGUCGUAAUUGUGCGGUCUUUCAGAUGUUAAUUCAUGUCAAUGUUCCUUGGAAUUGAGCCAUCCGGUCCGAUUGAAUCGUCU
rnacentral:misc_RNA from 1 species